rnacentral:rRNA from 1 species
GUGAGGUAAUGGCUCACCAAGGCAUCGACGGGUAGCUGGUCUGAGAGGACGAUCAGCCACACUGGGACUGAGACACGGCCCAGACUCCUACGGGAGGCAGCAGUGGGGAAUCUUGCGCAAUGGGCGAAAGCCUGAUGCAGCAACGCCGCGUGGGGGAAGAAGGCUCUCGGGUCGUAAACCCCUUUCAGCAGGGACGAAAAUGACGGUACCUGCAGAAGAAGGUGCGGCCAACUACGUGCCAGCAGCCGCGGUGACACGUAGGCACCAAGCGUUAUCCGGAUUUAUUGGGCGUAAAGAGCUCGUAGGCGGUUUGGUAAGUCGGGUGUGAAAACUCUGGGCUCAACCCAGAGAGGCCACUCGAUACUGCUAUGACUAGAGUACGGUAGGGGAGCGGGGAAUUCCUGGUGUAGCGGUGAAAUGCGCAGAUAUCAGGAGGAACACCAGCGGCGAAGGCGGCACUCUGGGCCGGUACUGACGCUGGGGAGCGAAAGCAUGGGGAGCAAACAGGAUUAGAUACCCUGGUAGUCCAUGCCGUAAACGGUGGGCACUAGGUAUGGGACCUUAUCAACGGGUUCCGUGCCGUAGCUAACGCAUUAAGUG